GCGCGGAGCACGUGGUGCCGGGGCGCAGGAGGCGCGCGCCGGAGCGACGUCAACGCAGCCCACUAAGCUCCCCCGACCUGUGUACCGCGGCUCUGCCGCGGCUGAGUCCUCCGAGGGUUGGGGUUCGGCGGUUUGCUGAGUACCUUUGCCGCCGCCAUGGACAACUCCGGGAAGGAAGCGGAAGCGAUGGCGCUGCUGGCCGAGGCGGAGCGCAAAGUGAAGAACUCGCAGUCCUUUUUCUCGGGCCUCUUUGGAGGCUCAUCCAAAAUAGAAGAAGCAUGUGAAAUCUACGCCAGAGCAGCGAACAUGUUCAAGAUGGCCAAGAACUGGAGUGCUGCCGGAAACGCCUUCUGCCAGGCGGCCCAGCUGCACCUGCAGCUCCAGAGCAAGCACGACGCGGCCACCUGCUUCGUGGACGCCGGCAAUGCGUUCAAGAAGGCUGAUCCCCAAGAGGCCAUUAACUGUUUGAUGAGAGCCAUCGAGAUCUACACAGACAUGGGCCGGUUCACAAUCGCCGCUAAGCACCACAUCUCCAUUGCCGAGAUCUACGAGACGGAGCUGGUGGACAUCGAGAAGGCCAUCGCCCACUACGAGCAGUCUGCAGACUACUACAAAGGCGAGGAGUCCAACAGCUCGGCCAACAAGUGUCUGCUGAAGGUGGCCGGCUACGCGGCGCAGCUGGAGCAGUACCAGAAGGCCAUUGACAUCUACGAGCAGGUGGGGCUCCGCCCUGCUCCCCCUGCGGCGCCCCCCAUCCCCCCAUUCCACGCCGUUCCCUCCAUCACCCCCAGCUCUCACCUCCUACGCAGCCACAGAAACUCUCCACCUGUGACCACCCCCCACCGCCCCCGGACAGGCCCUUCCUCACAGGCAUCCCCCAGGCGGCCCCAGGGUGAGGCCGACCCUGGAGAACCAGAGUCAGGGAGAGGAGGGAAAGAAUUGCCAGGCCUGGGCCGGCCAAAGGCAGCUGGGGGCCCUGGGAGGGGCCCAGCAGGGGAGCGUGUCUCCUGGGUCCCCGGGUCCCCUCUGCUCCUCUGCGGUGGGGCCUGGGCGGGGUUCAGCCUGGCCGGAGGAAGGCAGGCGGCUGGCCUGGGAGGAGAGUGGGACAGGUGCCCCCUCUCCUGUUCCCGCAGCCUGCCACCCCUGUGCCCACUGGUGUGCCAGCCUCCUGUCGGGCCUGACGGUGGGACCACCUCCCCUCCGCCAUCUCAGGAAGCCCACCGACACCUGGCCUCGGCCCGGGGCCCCCCCUGGUCCUCAGUCCCGCAGAGCGGUUGCUGACUUCCGCAGGCUGGGCUCCCGCCUCCCUGCCCUUUUGGCCCUGGAUGAACAGGGUUUCACUGGGGCACAGACCCUGUUCCCAGCUGGCCCCCAAGUGCCUGGCAGGGACUCCAGCCCUCUGGCUGCCACGUUCUCGUGCCCACAGGUGGGAACCAAUGCCAUGGACAGCCCACUCCUCAAGUACAGCGCCAAGGAUUACUUCUUCAAGGCGGCCCUCUGCCACUUCUGCAUCGACAUGCUCAACGCCAAGCUCGCCGUCCAGAAGUACGAGGAGCUCUUCCCCGCGUUCUCUGACUCCCGGGAGUACAAGCUCAUGAAAAAAUUGCUAGAAGCCCACGAGGAGCAGAAUGUGGACAGCUACACUGAGGCGGUCAAGGAGUACGACUCCAUCUCCCGGCUGGACCAGUGGCUCACCACCAUGCUGCUGCGCAUCAAGAAGACCAUCCAGGGCGACGAGGAGGACCUGCGCUAGGCCCCACCCAGCCCCCUGGCGCCCAUCCUCCUGCCCCAUCUGCUCUCCCCCAGCCGGGCCCUCCAGUGAGGAUCACGGCGUGAGCCCAGAGAGAGGUGGGGCCCGAGACCUUGGCUGUGAGACCCCCGAUCCUCCCCACCGAGGAGUCGGUCCCUCAGGCCGCAGCUUGGGCUCAGCACUGCUUUGGGGGCUGCUGAGGCUGGGCCCGCUGGCCAGACUGUCACCCUCUGUUCUCACUGCAUCCCUCGCCCCCCGCCCUCUUAUUUAAGCCCCCAGAGGUGCCCUUCUCUGCCCCGAAGCGCCGAAUUUUUGACCCAGACCUAUCGCUGGGGGUGGUGUCGGGGGUCAGGGUCAGCAUCCGGCCCCCCAUCUCCCAACCAGCUGAGUUGAGAGGUCGGCACCUGUCUCCCCACUUUUGUCCCCCAGCCGAGCUCUGAGCCCAUGUAGCCGCUACGAUUUGCUCUUGCCCCUGGAGAGGGCCCCUCCCCACCAGUGCCCGGCACCUCCUGCCUCCCACAGCCUGAUCUCUGGGGACAGCCCCAGGCUCUGGCGCUCUGAGGAUCAAGGGUUGUCCUGUGCCCCCCACCCACCCUCCCUGUGCUUCGAGGUGUUGUUGGUGGGAAGCUGCAGCUGCCCGAGGAAGGAAAUAAAAUACAGCACCUAUG